CCUAAAAGGACGUGGCUCCCAGGUGUGAGUGGAGCCUCCCUAAGGGCUGGUUUGAGGGCAGCAGUGAAGUCGGCUCUCUGCCCCCAGGUGGUGGUGCCCACCCGCGUGGGGCAGGGCUAUGUAUACGAGGCCGCCCAGCCGGAGCAGGACGAGUACGACAUCCCGCGACACCUGCUGGCCCCGGGGCCACAGGACAUCUAUGAUGUGCCCCCGGUUCGGGGGCUGCUUCCCAGCCAGUAUGGCCAGGAGGUGUAUGACACACCCCCCAUGGCUGUCAAGGGUCCCAAUGGCCGAGACCCGUUGCUGGAGGUGUAUGACGUGCCCCCCAGUGUGGAGAAGGGCCUGCCACCGUCCAACCACCACGCAGUGAGCAAAUGCCAGGGCAAUGCCAGGGCCAGGCUGAGGCUGUGGGGUGUCUGGGUGUGUGCACAGGGGUGCUGACCAGUGUCUGCAGGGCUGGGGGUGGCGGGCAGGAAGAGACUGGCUCCAGACCCUGGUUCUGGAUGGUUGACAGAUGAGGAAAUCAAGCUGUCUUCUGAGCCUCAGGUUCUU
rnacentral:lncRNA from 1 species